UGUGAUAAAAAGUUCCGGCGCCUUAGGAUGAAUCUGCGGUCUAUCAGGUAGUAGUGGGUGUAGUGUACCUACUAGCCUACGACGGAUACGGGUUGUGAGAGCAAGAGCCCGGAGAUGGAUUCUGAGACAUGAAUCCAGGCCCUACGGGGCGCAGCAGGCGCGAAAGCUUUACAAUGCGGGAAACCGCGAUAAGGGGAUACUGAGUGCCAGCAUAUUAUGUUGGCUGUCCACCUGUAUAAAUAGCAGGUGUUAGCAAGGGCCGGGCAAGACCGGUGCCAGCCGCCGCGGUAACACCGGCGGCCCGAGUGGUGGCCACUAUUAUUGGGUCUAAAGGGUCCGUAGCCGGUUUGAUCAGUCUUCCGGGAAAUCUGACAGCUCAACUGUUAGGCUUCCGGGGGAUACUGUCA
rnacentral:rRNA from 1 species